rnacentral:ncRNA from 18 species
ACAGUACAAACUGAGCAGGCGGUGGGAUGACCACAGGGCCGGGCCACACAGGGUGGCAGCAGAUAAAGAAUGAAUUUAUGAUCUGCGGGACAGUA